AACGAACGCUGGCGGCAUGCCUAACACAUGCAAGUCGAACGAGACCUUCGGGUCUAGUGGCGCACGGGUGCGUAACGCGUGGGAACCUGCCUUUAGGUUCGGAAUAACUCAGAGAAAUUUGAGCUAAUACCGGAUAAUGUCUUCGGACCAAAGAUUUAUCGCCUUUAGAUGGGCCCGCGUUGGAUUAGCUAGUUGGUGGGGUAAAGGCCUACCAAGGCGACGAUCCAUAGCUGGUCUGAGAGGAUGAUCAGCCACACUGGGACUGAGACACGGCCCAGACUCCUACGGGAGGCAGCAGUGGGGAAUAUUGGACAAUGGGGCGAAAGCCUGAUCCAGCAAUGCCGCGUGAGUGAUGAAGGCCUUAGGGUUGUAAAGGCUCUUUUACCCGAGAUGAUAAUGACAGUAUCGGGAGAAUAAGCUCCGGCUAACUCCGUGCCAGCAGCCGCGGUAAUGUGACUACUG
rnacentral:rRNA from 1 species